CGGGGAUUAGCUCAGAUGGCUAGAGUGCUUGGUUUGGGACCAAGAGGUCGCGAGUUCGAGUCCCGCAUCCCCGA
rnacentral:tRNA from 3 species